rnacentral:rRNA from 1 species
UCGAACGGAAAGGCCUGCUUGCAGGGUACUCGAGUGGCGAACGGGUGAGUAACACGUGGGUGAUCUGCCCUGCACUUCGGGAUAAGCUUGGGAAACUGGGUCUAAUACCGGAUAGGAACCAUCUUUAGAUGUGGUGGUUGGAAAGUUUUUUCGGUGUAGGAUGAGCUCGCGGCCUAUCAGCUUGUUGGUGGGGUAAUGGCCUACCAAGGCGGCGACGGGUAGCCGGCCUGAGAGGGUGUACGGCCACAUUGGGACUGAGAUACGGCCCAGACUCCUACGGGAGGCAGCAGUGGGGAAUAUUGCACAAUGGGCGCAAGCCUGAUGCAGCGACGCCGCGUGGGGGAUGAAGGCCUUCGGGUUGUAAACUCCUUUCGCUAGGGACGAAGCUUUUUGUGACGGUACCUAGAUAAGAAGCACCGGCUAACUACGUGCCAGCAGCCGCGGUAAUACGUAGGGUGCGAGCGUUGUCCGGAAUUACUGGGCGUAAAGGGCUCGUAGGUGGUUUGUCGCGUCGUCUGUGAAAUUCUGGGGCUUAACUCCGGGCGUGCAGGCGAUACGGGCAUAACUUGAGUGCUGUAGGGGUAACUGGAAUUCCUGGUGUAGCGGUGAAAUGCGCAGAUAUCAGGAGGUACACCGAUGGCGAAGGCAGGUUACUGGGCAGUUACU